GCAUCAUCAAUGGAUUUAGGGGAAAUAAAAAAGGGUUUUUUGAGAGGUAAAGGGAGAAAUGGCUUAUGGGUUAAAUGGGGUUUUGGAGGAGAGAGAGAUGGGAAAUGGAGUGGAGGAGAUGAGAACAAGGCCAUAGACAUUGUUGUUGGAGCUGUGAAUUUGAUAGAGAAGAAGAAGAACUUAACUCAGCCUCAAAAAUGGGAACUUUGUAUAAGCUUUUGUAAGUAUACACUAU
rnacentral:misc_RNA from 1 species